rnacentral:rRNA from 1 species
AUGAACAAAGCGCGCGGCUUUCCUGGCAUGCUUGGCUCAAUAGAUUGCAUGCAUUGGAGUUGGAAGAAUUGUCCAAAGGCAUGGCAUGGGCAAUUCCACGGCCGUAAAAAGGGUUCCACUAUAAUCCUUGAAGCGGUGGCCGAUCAGGAGACUUGGAUUUGGCAUGCAUUCUUUGGAAUGCCUGGAUCUUUGAAUGAUAUCAAUGUUGUCAACCGGUCACCACUGAUGAAUAAGAUUGCAAACGGUGAGUUGCCACCUGUGCAGUUUGUAGCAAAUGGCCGUAUGUACAACUAUGGCUAUUAUCUAGCGGAUGGCAUCUAUCCAAAGUGGCAAACCUUCGUGAAGCCGUUGAAAAAACCGGAAGGUAAGAAAAAUCUUGAUUUCCACAAUGCUCAGGCGGCGGCUAGAAAAGAUGUGGAGAGAGCAUUUGGGAUUUCGCAAGCCCAAUUUGCUAUGUGA